CUGCUGUGAUUUGUCUUUGGCGGAAAUUGGGGACUGAAGAGAGAAAGACUGUGUUUCUGAAGAAAACUACAGUAUUAGAUUAACCUUUGAUUCCUGGGUGGCCACGUGGUCGCCCAUAGCAUGGAGCUGCCGACAACGUUCUUCCUCAGCAUGAAGGAGCCAGUAAGGCUGGCGAUCAGGUUCCUCAUGAUUGAGGAAUCAAUAAAUAGAAAAAGCGGACUGGACUGAAAUUGACCCAAUAGUCUUAUAGACAGUUUUUUUUGAAUAAACAUAGAAAUCAACCCUUCUGGUCUUAAAGGAUGAAACUUAACAUUUAUUUUAUCUGAGUUCCUUCCGCAGGAAAGAAGCCCCCAGGCCUCUCAAAAAGUAUCAAAGAACUGAGAGUCACCAGAUAGUCACAUCCAAACGAUUGAAUGCCAGGCCCUUCAUUCAUCAUGAAUGAUUCCUUACCCUUUCCAAGUUCCUGUUGUCCCAUGCGUAGUUACGUUUCUUCCCUGCUAUGUAACUCCCUAAUUUAAUCAGUAAGAGUGAUGGAUUUGAGACUGAUCUCCUGUCUCCUCAGCUGUAGUGCCCGAUUAAAGCCUUCUUCUUUGGCAAUAAUUAUUGUUUCGUGAUUGGCUUUCCAUGUGGCCAGCAGCAGGACCUAGACUGAAGCCCUGGUAUUUUGGUAACAUGAACAUAGACUGGUCCUGGCUAGUUUUGGAGGCAGAUAAUGCAGGUAAAAAGAGUCUUCAGCAAGGCUUCCCUUCUAACAAAAAGC
rnacentral:lncRNA from 10 species